rnacentral:tRNA from 1 species
UGGAUAGAUGCCCGCUGGUUUAGGCGUUUAGCUGUUAACUAAGAGUUUGUGGGAUCGAAGCCCUCCUGUCCAG